UAAAAUUUAUUUUUUCACAUUAUGUACAUACUAAAAUAAAUAAAUAACUAACAAACAAAGGUUAAUGAAAAAUAACAAUAUAAAUUAAAAAAUUUGGAUAUAUGAUCGGGUAUAUAGUUUGGGUAGACGAGUAUGUGGUUUCGGGUAAUCGGGUCGGGUAUCAUCUAAUCUCAUACCCGACCCAUACCCGCAAAUUUUUUUAAAACUAAUCCCAUACUCGGCCCAAUACCCGUCUGGUAUCGGAUAUACCCGUUUCAUUUGUGUUAGGUAUUAGGUAUUCCUGUCGAGCUCGAGUAUUUUUGCUAUCCCUAACAACAAAAUCGUUAUCAGUGCCUAUGUUGCUAAAGAUAAGGAAUAAAAGAAUGUGUAAACUUUGAUAAAGGGUAUGGAUAAAUCAGUAAUUUUAUAUUCAAAAAACUAAAACCUAUUUAAAAAGAUGAGUUUUAGUGGCUUUUGGAAAAACAUCUUUUUACCUUCUUCAAAAAGCCAAAAAAAAAGACUUUUAUCAUUCUCAAAUACUUUUUGAAUUUAUUGGCUUUUUAAAAAACACAAUAAGUUAUUUCAAAACUCAAUCCUGAACGCCGUCUAACUAUAUUUAUUUUUAUCAACCCGUGUAAUACACGGGGUUCUAACCUAGUUGUAUUUUAUAAGUAAGUGGCCGGAAUGCAAAAAGGCUCAUUAUAUAUAGCUCUUAGUUUUACCGGUUGGCGUCAUUUGCUCAUUAUAUAUCAAGCACCAAAGACGUUUGGCGUCAUUUGCUUGCCAAUUCCCUCCACUCACUAGUCAACUGCCUCAUUAUCACCAGCUUCCACCUUAAAUAUUCAAUUAAGUGCCCGGGUAGAAGUAAUGUCUAGAGAUGGUGUGUUUGGGGCACGACCAUGAGAGAACAAAACUAAAUAUUUGCGUAGAAUUUGGAGAUUAUUAUGCUACUGGGGAGAUCCGUGUGUUUUAAAAAAUUGUGUUGAAAAUGGGCUUGCACCGUUUGCAACACAAUAGAUUGCACUUAAAUAUUAAGCUUCAAAAUCAGUCUCUAUUGGGCUAUUUUCGGCAGAUCAUUUCUUGUAGUUUGUAAGCAAAAUUUGGCUCAUGUUACCUCACUACAUGUCAUCUUACAAGGUUUUUUUUUUCUUGCGUUACAACCUACGUUUAGCUUGAGGAUAAUAAAGAACUAGUUACGUUAGUUAAUAGUCGUGCUUAACUAAUAUAAAUAAGUGGUUUGUGAUACUGAAUCAGUAAGAGAAAUAUAUUUCACUUCAUAAGUUCAUAUCAUAGUUAGAUGUCGACUAAAACAAUUGGCAGUUAACUCUGCAAUUGUAACACCUCCUGACUGACUUGUAUCGAUGUUUAACAAGUUUCCUUUUAGUCUUAAAUAAAUUCCUUUAAGAAAUUCCAAUGAAAUAAUUUGAUGACACUAAGAUCACUAACAUCAAACCUUCUAGUAAUUCAAUUCCCGUUUCUUUUAAUUGUUUGAGAAACUUAUGUAUUGUUUCUUGUUGGUGCACUUGUGUCUGUACUUUGUCUGUAUUCAGUCACGAUGUAAACGAUGUCCUUGUCAGUCCUGUAAGUUGACCAAGUCAACCGUCCUCCUGGUUUGACUUGGCCAACAGUUAGGAAAUGGUUGUCUAUUGGUCUGUGUCGAAGGUUGGUCUAUCGAAGGAUUGAUUCUAUCCUUCGAUGACCUCGAAAGAUAUGUUACGAAGAACACUAUGGACUUCGAAGGAUAUGCAAUCCUUCGAAGUAUAUUUGGAUCCUUCGAACACUUUGUAAUCGAUAGAUGAUCCU
rnacentral:lncRNA from 1 species